GAGAAUAUAGCUCAAGUAGUAGAGCACAUGCUUAGUGUGCAUGAGGUUCUGGGUUCAAUCCCCAGUACCUUCC
rnacentral:tRNA from 1 species